GCAUACAAUAAGCGGAGGAAAAGAAACCAACAGGGAUUGCCUCAGUAACGGCGAAGUGAAGCGGCAACAGCUCAAAUUUGAAAUCUGGUCCCCUCUGGGGGCCCGAGUUGUAAUUUGAAGAGGAUGCUUUUGGCGAGGCGCCUUCCGAGUGCCCUGGAACGGGACGCCACAGAGGGUGAGAGCCCCGUAUGGUAGGACGCCGAGCCUCUGUAAAGCUCCUUCGACGAGUCGAGUAGUUUGGGAAUGCUGCUCAAAAUGGGAGGUAAACCCCUUCUAAAGCUAAAUAUUGGCCAGAGACCGAUAGCGCACAAGUAGAGUGAUCGAAAGAUGAAAAGCACUUUGAAAAGAGAGUUAAACAGCACGUGAAAUUGUUGAAAGGGAAGCGCUUGCGACCAGACUUGCGCCCGUCGGAUCAACCGUCCCUCGUGGGCGGCGCACUCCGGCGGGCUCAGGCCAGCAUCAGUUUUCCUGGGGGGAGAAAGGCGGUGGGAAUGUAGCUCUUCGGAGUGUUAUAGCCCGCCGCGUAAUGCCCUCGGGGGGACUGAGGACCGCGCGUAUGCAAGGAUGCUGGCGUAAUGGUCGUCAGCGACCCGUCUUGAAACACGGACCAAGGAGUCGUCCUAAUAUGCGAGUGUACGGGUGUAAAACCCCUGCGCGUAAUGAAAGUGAACGGAGGUGAGAGCUUCGGCGCAUCAUCGACCGAUCCUGAUGUUCUCGGAUGGAUUUGAGUAAGAGCAUAUUGGGCCGGACCCGAAAGAAGGUGAACUAUGCCUGUAUAGGGUGAAGCCAGAGGAAACUUCUGGUGGAGGCUCGCAGCGGUUUCUGACGUGCAAAUCGAUCGUCAAAUAAUGGGCAUGGGGGCGAAAGACUAAUCGAACCUUCUAGUAGCUGGUUUCCGC
rnacentral:rRNA from 1 species